AGUGGCGGACGGGUGAGUAACACGUGAGAAUUUGCCUUUAGGAGGGGGAUAACAAUUGGAAACAAAUGCUAAUACCCCAUAUGCUUUUGAGUGAAAUGGAUUUAUCCGCCUAGAGAGAAGCUCGCGGCUGAUUAGCUUGUUGGUAAGGUAAGAGCUUACCAAGGCGACGAUCAGUAUCUGGUUUGAGAGGACGAUCAGACACACUGGAACUGAGACACGGUCCAGACUCCUACGGGAGGCAGCAGUGGGGAAUUUUCCGCAAUGGGCGAAAGCCUGACGGAGCAAUACCGCGUGAGGGAAGACUGCCUAUGGGUUGUAAACCUCUUUUUUCAGGGAGGAAUAAAAUGACGUGUACCUGAAGAAUAAGCAUCGGCUAACUCCGUGCCAGCAGCCGCGGUAAGACGGAGGAUGCAAGUGUUAUCCGGAAUCACUGGGCGUAAAGCGUCUGUAGGUUGUUUAAUAAGUCAACUGUUAAAGCUUGAGGCUCAGCUUCAAAAUCGCAGUCGAAACUAUUAGACUAGAGUAUAGUAGAGGUAAAGGGAAUUUCCAGUGGAGCGGUGAAAUGCGUAGAUAUUGGAAAGAACACCGAUUGCGAAAGCACUUUACUGGGCUAUUACUAACACUCAGAGACGAAAGCUAGGGUAGCAAAUGGGAUUAGAUACCCCAGUAGUCCUAGCCGUAAACAAUGGAUACUAGAUGU
rnacentral:rRNA from 1 species